rnacentral:piRNA from 1 species
UGCCAUAUGAAGGUGGAAGACUAGGCAA